AGCUUUGCGCAGUGGCAGUAUCGUAGCCAAUGAGGUUUAUCCGAGGCGCGAUUAUUGCUAAUUGGAAAGGGAGGCAAGAGCCCAAUCAUAUAGUUGCUAGAAGUCAUAUAAGGAAGCUUAGAUUUCAUUUUAAAG
rfam:Canis lupus familiaris chromosome 9, whole genome shotgun sequence.